UCACUCUGGCUCCCACUCAAUAAACGGAUAAAUCUUUCGCCUUUUACUAAAGAUUUCCGUGGGUGGAAGCAUAUGAGUCUAUGACCUUAUUUUUGAAUUGCCUGGUCUUUAGACUGGGCA